UCAACCCACAGCUACACUCCCUCUUAGCAGCGCUGGUCUUGGGAGGUCACUGGGCUGAGGCGGAUCUCUCUCCAGCUCUAGGGGAGGACUUGGGUGGCCCUGGCUGGGAGCAGCAGAAACAUGCCUUUUAGGAGCAAACUAUGGCCAGAGACAGGGUGCGAUGCGAACUGCAGAGGGGAUCCGUGAGCUGUGCCCGCGUCAUCGAGAGCCUCUGGAAGAGGGGUCAUUCUGAGGGUGGCCUGACACAGCCGUGGCGACAUGGAGAGGAAGAGGUACAUCCUGGGCCACAUCCUCAGCUUACGUUAUUCCUGUGUUGCUGAAGCUUAACUUCCAGUCCCUGGCGAGUACUGCACCCUUCCGCGUGUACCUAGCCAGCGCUGACGCUGGCUGCUCGGCAAUGGGAAUAAUAUCUGGGCAUUGCCAGAACUCUCUCCCGAGGCCAAUCUGUUCUUAUUUGGCCAUUUUCUUUGGAGACAAGGAGCAAAGAUAUGACACGAAGUCACGGGCAGUGGUAUUGAAGUAGAAUUCGGAACCAGUUCCCUUGUCUACUUCUGGUACGAAGCAAUGAUGUCACAUAAAAAAACUACAUAUGGAGGUUCAGUUCUCUAAAAAUAUGAUAUAUUUUUGCCUAUUUUCAAGCAGAACUCAAAUGGAGAAAGAGGGGAAAAGGCUUAAUUUGAAGUUUGUUGGGAUGGAAGAAUUGAAGAGAUCUAUGUUUUGCAAACAAGAAGAAAUACUCGUCCCCCAACUUUCAGAAUACCUGCUUGGGUCAGGAGUGACCGCUGAAGGAGAAAAGUACUCAGAACUCUGGCCACAGGGUAGCAACGGGGAACCUGCCCUCCAGAAACAGCACUGAGAGCAUUCAUGACCCAAGUACUGAGUUUCCAUCAUCAGGAUCUUGGUCUGAAUUUUAAAUCAGUAUCUUAAAGGGGGAGGCUCUGUACCAUACUACCGAUAACUAAGCCAUACAGAGCUGCAAUCCCAUCUUUUGAAAAGACAAAAUAUAUUAUUGCUUUCUUAACUAUUGCUAAGCAUCAUUUGGAAGGGAUCAGAUAUUAGUUUUGUGUAACAGGCAAAUAUUUUACUUUGUCAGGGAAAAAAACACUGGCUUAAGUUCUCUUUGGUUUGUAGAACUGCUGAAUUGAUGUUUUCUGUGCUGCCACAGAUUAAAAACAUGGAUAUAUCAAUGGCA